rnacentral:rRNA from 1 species
AGAGCGAACGCUGGCGGCAGGCCUAACACAUGCAAGUCGAGCGCCGUAGCAAUACGGAGCGGCAGACGGGAGAGUAACACGUGGGAACGUACCCUUUGGUUCGGAACAACCCAGGGAAACUUGGGCUAAUACCGAAUAAGCCCUUACGGGGAAAGAUUUAUCGCCGAAGGAUCGGCCCGCGUCUGAUUAGCUAGUUGGUGGGGUAACGGCCCACCAAGGCGACGAUCAGUAGCUGGUCUGAGAGGAUGAUCAGCCUCAUUGGGACUGAGACACGGCCCAAACUCCUACGGGAGGCAGCAGUGGGGAAUAUUGGACAAUGGGCGCAAGCCUGAUCCAGCCAUGCCGCGUGGGUGAUGAAGGCCCUAGGGUUGUAAAAUUCUUUCAGCGGGGAAGAUAAUGACUGUACCCGCAAAAGAAGCUCCGGCUAACUUCGUGCCAGCAGCCGC